GUAUAAACUAUCAUUAUUAUUAAUUCUAACUCUACAUAUCUUUGUAUAGGUCGAGCUUGUUACAUUGUUACACGCAGUUGCAUGGAGACGUUUACUAAGUGGAAUAAAAUAAACAGUUUUCUGCCACUAACUAUAAUAGUAACAAAAGGGUUGACACAAGCAAUGGAAGAGUCUUGGUUGCAUCGCAUACUUUACAAUUCUGUUUACAAUCGGAUAGAAAUUGAAAAUAUAGAACUUUAUCACAGCAAA